rnacentral:SRP_RNA from 1 species
GCUGGGCAUGGUGGCUCAUGCCUGUAAUCCUAGCACUUUGGGAGGCUGAGGCAGGUGGAUCACUUGAGGUCAGGAGUUCGAGACCAGCCUGGCCAACAUGGUGAAACCCUGUCUCUA